UUCGCAAUGCCCGAAAGGGUGACGAAGCGACGCCGCGUGAGCGAAGAAGGCCUUAGGGUUGUAAAGCUCUGUCGAGGGUUAUGAAAUGUAGGUGGGUUAAUACCCCGCUUAAUUGACAAAGGCCCCAAAGGAAGUCACGGCUAACUCUGUGCCAGCAGCCGCGGUAAUACAGAGGUGGCAAGCGUUGUUCGGUAUUAUUGGGCGUAAAGAGCACGUAGGUGGUUUUGUAAGUCAGGUGUGAAAGCCUUCUGUUCAAAGGAAGAACGGCAUCUGAAACUGCAGAUCUUGAGUGUAGGAGGGGAGAGUGGAACUUCUGGUGGAGCGGUGAAAUGCGUAGAUAUCAGAAGGAACGUCGGCGGCGAAAGCGACUCUCUGGCCUAUUACUGACACUGAGGUGCGAAAGUUAGGGGAGCAAACGGGAUUAGAUACCCCGGUAGUCCUAACCGUAAACGAUGGGCACUAAGUAGAGGGGUUUU
rnacentral:rRNA from 1 species